GGGCGUGUGGUCUAGAGGUAUGAUUCUCGCUUUGGGUGCGAGAGGCCCUGGGUUCAAUUCCCAGCUCGCCCC
rnacentral:tRNA from 1 species